rnacentral:rRNA from 1 species
ACAUACGACCAAAGGUUCGAGAGUCCGACGGAUCCCGUUCGAUCUCCGAUAUCUAAGCUCGUGACCGGCAGAUUAGUAGUUGGGUGGGUGACCACCAGCGAAUUCCUGCUGUUGUAUGUU